CUCCAAUCGACCCAUUUUCAUCUAGAAAACCCAAAUACAUCAUUUCCCCUUUAAUUUGUACGGAUUCCAUGACCUCUACGUUAGUUUGUAUGUCGAAGAACCUCAAAUCUUCUAGAAAAGCACCUAGGUGUCUUCACCAACGGUUCAAUCCCACAUUUAUCGGAUAAGAUUGUAUGAUUUCGUAUAAUAGUUUGUUGAUUUUCAUUGGUUCUUGAAGGGAAUUCAUUUUGCCUAAAUGAGAUUGGUCCACCCGUUUUAUUUUUUGGAAAAAAUCCCAAAAAUUGGCAUGAUUUGAGCACAAAAAAUGAGUUGUGAGGGGAUUUUUCAAAUUUCAAAAUUCAAAAAAUAUCCCCUCUUUCAAGUCCCCAAAAGACCCCCAAUUUGAAUUCUAUAUAAAGACCCUUGGGGUCACUGUUUUGGGGGAUUUUUUUCUUUUUUUGGGGAGGGUUCGAAAAUUGGGGGAAUUUUUUUGGGAGGUCACUUUUUUUUUAGGGGAAAAAUUUUGGUUGAGGAAAAGGGGAAAAAUUCAAUAGAGAUUUCGGGGUUCGAAAUUUCCUUAGAAGUUUUGAGGGAUUUUUGGCUGAGGUUCGGAAAUUUUUUUAGGGGGCUCUGGAUUCAAGGACCUGAGAGGUUAGGAACUUUUCUGCCAAUGAAUUGAAGGUUUUCGAGUUGAUAUCAUUAAUUCCUGGGGGUGUUGGAAUCCGGCAACUAUCUCGUAGUCUCUUUUUGCUACCCCAGAAGAGAUGGACGUGAUGGCCUUAGGGGCUGUUUUGUAAUUAUUUUUAUGCCAUUUUGUUGAAGCAGUGCUCAUGUCAUAAUUUUCAAAGAGAUUAUGUCGAACAUACUGCCUUUUAAUUGAUAUUACUGCCUUUUAAUUGAUGUUGCUAGUUAUCUAGGAUUUUAUGACAUGAGUCGGUAUAUAGCUCAUCAAGAUUUCACUUUUUGUUUCUAGUUUCACCUUUAGAGUUAGUAUUUCUUGUCGCAUUAGGAUAACUAUUGUCAUAAUCGAUUGAUCCAUGAUUUAGCUUCAUCUUUCUCCUUUUUAUUUUAUAAUCUGUUUGUUUGAAACUUGAUAUCAUUAGCUAAUACCUAUUAUCAUCAUCUCACAUUGUUGCUUGCAAUUUGGCUUGCUGUUCUCGGCUAAAUUCAUGCCUCAGUGUCUACUUUACUAUUUCAUCUUGACAUUGCCUUGCUGGGUCACUGUUCAGUCUUUGUGGUGCCAUUAGUAUUGUUAUAUAUUUAGUUCUUUUAGCUCUUCAAAGGCCAAAAUAAUGGGGAGGUAUCAGAGGGGAACCAGAAUUCUCAUAGUCCCUGGAAGACCUUCUUGAGUGACAAAACUCAUUUUGGGUCUAUCGAAAAGUGGAUGAAAUGGGAAUAGUAUGCCAUGUCAAUUGCACUUUAUUUCAAAUGGUUAUAAGAGUGUGUUCCUGUUUAAGGUUUUUGGGCAAAGUGCAGUUGUGAUUUAUUGCAUCGCUAAACAUUUGAGUUAUUGGUUCAUAGAGAAUAUCUUGUCUUUAGAUCCCUCCAUAACUAGCUUGAAGGAAAUCCUUGCGGAUUAGUUAAGGAGAGGAUAGGAGAGAAAUAAAAUUUUUGUUUCUUUGUAGUAUGUUCCCAUGUCAAGCGUGAUUAAUUAUUAUGUGGGAUCUGGUACUAUUUGUGGUGAUAGCUCCAAGAUAUUCAUGAUUAAAGUUGUACUCAUUUCAUAAAAGUACCUUGUGUUGCACCCGUUUCUAUUCUUUUUCACCAAGGUUCUCACGUCUUUUGUUAACUAGCUUUCCCAAUAGUGUCUCAUGCUUUUUCCAUCCUUUCUUUCAUGUUAUUUGCCAACACGUUGAAAGAUGACAAAGAUGCCUUUAUUUCAUAAUUUUUGUCAAUUAAUCUUUUCUACUGUUACACCAUGGUUGUCUUAGCUUCAUGGGUAUCUAGAUUUUAAUUUUAUCUUUUAACACUCAUGGCAUCUUUCUUUUCUGGUUUAUCAAUUAAGUCUUUAUGAACGUGGUGGCCUUACUCAUAAUUGGUUAUUCGACGUUGCCGCCUUAAAUGAUUAAAAUUGGGGACUGAAUCAUUGUGCACAUAAUGAGUCCUUAUGAAAUAUUGUUAGUCCUUCUAAUUUGAUCAUUGGUAAAGUCAUGUUUGUUAAUUUGGGUUAAGUAUUGACAAAUAAUUUGAGUUGCUAAAUCUUGAUUUAUAUUAACUCGUACUCCAGUGAUUCUUUGGUUGAUUCAUGCUUUCUCUUCAAAUUCAUGAUUCAUUUCAUAUUUGCGUUGAUUAUAAACUUUAAAUGUAUAUUAAUGUGUUUUCAUCCUUUUCUUUGCAUGAUCCUGCCUUGGAAUCCCAAAUGGACUCCCCUUUCUUCACAUCUUAAACGGGCCAAUGAGGUCUAUCUUUCCGGUCAAUUCUUAGAGAAAGAUUGAAUAUCAACCCUAGACAAAAUUCUCAUUUAUUAUUUCAUUUUAUAUAUUUAUUGUCAUCUUUUAUUUAUUUACUUAUUUAUUUAUUUAUUUUUUUGUUUAUUUAUUUAUUCAUUCAUUUGGGCCUCGAAGCCAAAACUGUAAAUUUAAUACAGGUGGAUCGAGACUCGAUUUAAAGGCUCAUAAACUAGAGUAGGAUAGAUGAAACGGGUCAAAGGCCUAAUUAGAUUAGGACAGGCUUUGUUGGUUUCGGCCCAAUGGCCUAAAUUGUGUACUUUUUCCUCCCUUUCCCCAUUUAUGUGUUUACUUGC